UUCUAUGAUGAGGAAGAUAUUCACACUGUAAGAGGGCUUCGGCUCGGUGAACGCAAACAAUAUACUGAUUUAAUGACUCUGAUG
rnacentral:snoRNA from 1 species